GAUGAACGCUGGCGGCGUGCUUAACACAUGCAAGUCGAACGAUGAAGCCCAGCUUGCUGGGUGGAUUAGUGGCGAACGGGUGAGUAACACGUGAGUAACCUGCCCUUAACUCUGGGAUAAGCCUGGGAAACUGGGUCUAAUACCGGAUAGGAGCGUCCACCGCAUGGUGGGUGUUGGAAAGAUUUAUCGGUUUUGGAUGGACUCGCGGCCUAUCAGCUUGUUGGUGAGGUAAUGGCUCACCAAGGCGACGACGGGUAGCCGGCCUUAGAGGGUGACCGGCCACACUGGGACUGAGACACGGCCCAGACUCCUACGGGAGGCAGCAGUGGGGAAUAUUGCACAAUGGGCGCAAGCCUGAUGCAGCGACGCCGCGUGAGGGAUGACGGCCUUCGGGUUGUAAACCUCUUUCAGUAGGGAAGAAGCGAAAGUGACGGCACCUGCAGAAGAAGCACCGGCUAACUACGUG
rnacentral:rRNA from 1 species